rnacentral:misc_RNA from 1 species
AAGUCGUAACAAGGUUUCCGUAGGUGAACCUGCGGAAGGAUCAUUAUAAAAUGCUUUAAACGCAUCCACCUUUUUGUGCACUUGACCAAGCCAGGCUCGUCCUUAUUGACGAACUUGGAUGACCCACACCUUUUGCCUGAAAAGUCUUUAUUUCAGAAAAAGAAAUAGAAAAUCUUAAACAAAAUACAACUUUUAACAACGGAUCUCUUGGCUCUCC